AGAAUCAACGCUGGCGGCGUGCCUAACACAUGCAAGUCGAACGCGACUGGGGGCUUCGGCUCCAGUUGAGUGGCGAACGGGUGAGUAACACGUGGGUGACCUACCUUCGAAUGGGGGAUAACGUCCCGAAAGGGACGCUAAUACCGCAUAACAUCCUGCCUUUGAACAGGUGGAGAUCAAAGCCGGGGAUCGCAAGACCUGGCGUUUGAAGAGGGGCCCGCGUCCGAUUAGCUAGUUGGUGAGGUAACGGCUCACCAAGGCGACGAUCGGUA
rnacentral:rRNA from 1 species